rnacentral:rRNA from 1 species
AACGCAGGUGGUUUGGUAAGUCAGGGGUGAAAGUCCACAGCUUAACUGUGGCACUGCCUUUGAUACUACCUUUCUUGAGUGCAUGAGGGGGAAGCGGAAUUCCGAGUGUAGAGGUGAAAUUCGUAGAUAUUCGGAGGAACACCGGUGGCGAAGGCGGCUUCCUGGCAUGUAACUGACACUUAUGUUCGAAAGCGUGGGGAGCAAACAGGAUUAGAUACCCUGGUAGUCCACGCCCUAAACGAUGGGCACUAGGUGUGGGAGGUAUCGACCCCUUCCGUGCCGCAGCUAACGCAUUAAGUGCCCCGCCUGGGGAGUACGGCCGCAAGGUUGAA